rnacentral:rRNA from 1 species
CGCCCGGUCCCAUUCCGAACCCGGAAGCUAAGCCUGCCUGCGCCGAUGGUACUGCCCGGGGGACCGGGUGGGAGAGUAGGACGCCGCCGGAC